AACGAACGCUGGCGGCAGGCCUAAUACAUGCAAGUCGAACGCACCGCAAGGUGAGUGGCAGACGGGUGAGUAACGCGUGGGAACCUUCCUUGCAGUACGGAAUAACUCCGGGAAACCGGUGCUAAUACCGUAUACGCCCUUCGGGAGAAAGAUUUAUCGCUGCAAGAUGGGCCCGCGUCGGAUUAGCUAGUUGGUGGGGUAAUGGCCUACCAAGGCUACGAUCCGUAGCUGGUCUGAGAGGAUGAUCAGCCACACUGGGACUGAGACACGGCCCAGACUCCUACGGGAGGCAGCAGUAGGGAAUCUUAGACAAUGGGGGCAACCCUGAUCUAGCCAUGCCGCGUGAGUGAUGAAGGCCUUAGGGUUGUAAAGCUCUUUCAGCUGGGAAGAUAAUGACGGUACCAGCAGAAGAAGCCCCGGCUAACUCCGUGCCAGCCGCCGCCGUAAUA
rnacentral:rRNA from 1 species